GUUAAGGUGGCUGAGUUUAGGCAUUAGACUGUAAAUCUAAUCAUGGUUAAUACCCUUUAUCG
rnacentral:tRNA from 1 species